rnacentral:lncRNA from 1 species
GUUAUGUGCUGCUGUAUUAAAUAUAAAACAUUUUCAUUUCCUUUGUAUAGGAAAUUCAAUAGGACCUGAAAAGGGGGUCAACCAAGUACUGCGACUCCCACAAUAAAAUGUGAGUGGUGCUAAUAUUCCUUUUCCAACUCUCGAGUGACUGCAAAUAACCAAACAGAUAAAAUGUAGCUUUCAUAAAACUCCGAGGUUUGGUGGAGAAUUAGCAUGAGACUUGUACUUGCUACUUGCUAACGGAAGGUUGGCCAAGAGCUCAGAUUUAUGCCAUGAAAUUUAAAUGGUUUUCUCCUGAGGUUUUCUUGACAAUAUCAUUGUAUGCGGCUGAGUUAGUUUAUUGGCACGUUUGUACGGAGAUUGUUUUUGGAGGAGUGGGGGGUGAGAGGGUAGGGGUGACGGUAACCUAUUCCUUUAAGAAACCCAGCACUUAUGGGGCUCUGGGGAAUUUUAAAGCAGGGAAUUUGGAAGAGUAACACAUGCAAGAGUCUCCAAAUGGUGAGGCAGAAUCAACAACAUUUACAAAAUUACAUUGGGGGAAAAAAUAACAUGGUAAGAUCGCAGUUCUUUUGUUGGGGUGUUUAUAACAUAACACAUGGCUUCCUCUCACCAGGCUUCUGAAAUUAGAAUGAUAUUGCUAGAAGAUUUUGUAUGGAUCGGGCUUUGAAUUUGCAUGCAAGUUUGCAGGGAAUUUUGUGCAAAGAUGAAAACCCUGUCUGAAUUCAGACCCAGGUAUUUUAGCAGCCACCGAAAGGUUAUUCACUGCGCGCCCGAUACAAUGUCGCUAACUAACUUAGAAACAGGAGGUCACAGAUUAAAGUUAAAGAGGAAGGUUAGGCCUAUGAGCAAUGCAAGCAGAAUUUAAUUACAAAAAGGGUAGCUGAAUAAUGGCACACAUAGCUAAAGGCAGCAAUAGAUACAGGAAUUGUAAAUCAGUUCAAGGAAGCUCAGAGAAAAAGGAAAUAAAAAAAAAAGAAAGAAAGAAAGAAAACAAAUCAACGCUCUUAAAAAUAUCCUAGGGUUAACUGAGCAAGCCUCAGUAGAUCAGAGUCAAGGCUUUAUCCUUUCAACGUCCCUGUGCUUUGAAAAAGACACCUCAACAGCAGUUCAUUGAUUUCCGCAAAGGCCGAAGACCUGUGUCAUCCACCCAAUUGAAUUCUUUUGUGCUGUACAUGUGCUUACCCUAUAUUGUCUGUCCCCUUACAAUUUUAUCUCCCCGUGUAUACAUUUCUCCCACCCUGAGUAGGACACAAUUAUUCCAUUCUUGCCAACAUGAGCCGUAUAAUCACCUUGGGAACUGACAUUUCAUUCAUGCCCUUGCAAGCCACGAGAGGAAUUAAAGGUCCGUGUCCUCUGUGUCUUUACUGUUUUAUUCCUUCCAUGCAUUUCGAGGGUAGUGGCUAAAUAUCACCGCAAAAAAGAAUUCAUCUCAAGCUGGAACUUUACACAAAAAUUGCACAUCUAAUAAUAAUUAUGCUGUUUUAUUUUUUUUUAAAUGACUGUAUUUCUGGACAAGGAAAUAAAACGAAGCAAGGCCAACGUUAAAAUGCCAAAAUAGCAGAGGAUGUCUGUGAAGUGGAGCUUACAAUGGAACUGCCAGAAAGCUCGAGCUAACAUUAGAAUCAUGUGAAAGUUGGCAACCCAGACUCACGUAGAGCUAAAGAAACAGUGUUUUUGUAUAUUCCAGUUCCUGUUGGUUCUGAUCCCUUGAAUGUUGCUUGGGGUAUUACACUCCCAAUUCCAAACAAAUUUCAGCGAAACCUCAAAAUAUUUUCAACUAUAAGAAACCAAACACGAUUCCCACUAAGCAUAAUAAAACAGCUCAAAUUUCAGGAAAGCUUUAAGAAUCUCCUUAGAACACUGAGGUGUGAAAGUUCCCAGGAAAGAACCAACCAUUCUCAUGUCUAAGGCGCGUCAUGCUUCGGUUUCGGCUUUAGGUUGAUUUUCUGUUUUUAAGCAAUUUCACUCCUACUCCUCUGCACCUCGCAACCCAGUGUCCAAUGCUUUUGAAUCAGGCUGCUUAUUUUUGAAAAAAUAACCCAAUUGACAUUUAUUGGGCAGGUGGUAGCCAGGCGUCUUCUCUGUAGGGAAAGAAAAUUAUUUUAGGUGUUUUCCCCACUCUCCUGCCUUUCGGACUAAGUGAAUUUCAGCACCUGAUCCAAAUCACAAAGGUCAUCCAUUAGCAGAAAACAAAAACUAAUUUGGCUUUCCCUGGCACCUCUCAUACUCUGCGAUUGUCUAAUAGUUUGCAUGGUGAUAAGUGGGAGGCUUGGAGAAGAAUGGUUUGUAUGCAGGUCGCGUAUCAGAAUGUCACCAUGUUCUUAGGGCCAACCUGUAACACAGCUUCAGACAGUGGGAGGGUGGCGGUUAGUUUAUUGACUGGCACGCUGUACAAUGAAUUGGUUUUUUUACUGAAUCUCAAAUAACUAUUCUGCUCUUCAUUAAUAAUCUUAAAACAGCAGCUACACAAGUAGAUUUAUGGUGGAUUUUCCCCCUUUUGUCAUACUGUCUUCUCUCCUCUGUCAUUAGUUCAACGACUUAUCACUUCAAAACGGUAGGCCUAGGAAAGACAUUUGACAGUUUUAAACCAAUAUUUGAUUGGCAUCAUGGUUGCAGUGACAUCCUAGAUAUAGAUGGAACGUGUGGCGUGAAUUCACCCUCUGCCUCCCAAUGGCUUCUUUUGCAGAAAACGAGAGGACAGAUUGAUUAAGAAAACCCAGAAGAAUAAAUAAAGGUGAGAAAUCUGCUGAUGCAGCCCUACGUGAAGAAUCGCAUUACUUAUUUUUAGAUUUAUGCUUAGAAGACAAAGAAAUCUAUAUGAGCCCCUGCCUGCCUGUAACUUUCCUCUAAGCUCUUUUAAAAAUUAUAUGCAAGUAUGUGUGUGUACACAUAUAUAUCUAUAUCUAUACAUAUCUAUAUCUAUCUAUCUAUCUAGAUGGAUAUUUCAAUGCAAUCACUUUGACGUUAUUCCAGAGAAAUACUUUUUUAGUCUUUCCUAUUGAUUCAGAAAUUCUUCCUUUUCUCACCCUUGUCAAAACUUUUCACUUAUGACCCAAGAGCUGGGGACCAAAAUCAGUACUGUCCUGUUUUGAGUGUCAUUGUGCAGUGAUCCUAAGUGGCCCCUAAACACUUUUGUCGAUAUUUAUUGAUGGGAUCCACGGGCACUCUGAGUGAUCCCACUCUGGAGGGGCACCAACCAAUGGCAAGGUGAACGGGGGAAGGAGGUGGUCCUGCUGUAGGCCAGAGCUGGCAAAGCAGUGUCGGGAUGCUCAGGGGUCAUUGACAAAAUGUCAAACAUUUCAAAUUUCUGACUAGCUCUCUGACUAAUGCCAUACUAAGCAGAAACAUGGCCAUUUCCUCCAAGGAACCAACAGACACACAGACACAUAAACACACAGAAAUAAAUACAGUCUCUGUGUUUUUUUUCUCUUCCAUUUGCUUGCUCUCUUGCUUUAUGUCUUACAUGUGCAUGCGCACACACACACACACACACACACACACACACACACACAAAUAGUCUACAGGGAAAUUAAGUGGUGCCAACGAAACAGUGUACUGAGAAAGUUCUUGGAUAAAUUAACAACGCAAUUACAUUACAUGACAUGCCACAAGAUGGAUGAGGAAAACUUGGCUGGUAUUAUGUUCUGUUUUCAAAUUGCAAUUUAUUUGAGGGUUUUAAUGGAUGCCUUAUUAAAACAUCUCGGCCCUGGUCAGGUUUCAGCAUAUGUCACAGUGGCCUGUGAUUGAUGACACCCUCCGCUGCUUCUCUUGCACAUUUGCAGGGAAUUUAAGCAAAGAGGGAAUGAGCUGAGGCCCAGCUUUGUAUCGAUCGUGUGGAGGUGCGCUGCCUGGGAGCACAGUCUAAUAACAUUCUCUUAGCUGAACUGCUUCACAUGAAGGCAUUUAUUACAAGAACUAAAAUGUUAUAUUGCUCAGAAUAAAAGAAUAUUGUACAAACAAAAGAGUUAGCAGUGAGUGGGGGAGACGGGGAGGCAAUGGCAUGCUAUGGAGCCAGGCCUUGUUAUCUUUCAGAAGCCACAUUUCUAAGUGUUGGUGGAAAACAAUGAAGAAACCAAAGGUUUAAAAGAGGUAAGAGAAAGAAAGGGAAAAUGCUGUAGGCUUGGUUUUUGCUUAUUUCAACCAGUUAGUCAUGCAGAACAGCGGAGUUUCGCGACAAAGAGAAGGCCAGGUGAGGACUGAUAAGGGAGCAGUCUUAAAGUCAUUUGAAAAAUAACUAAAUAUCCAAAGAGAUCAUAAGACAUUAUUUGGAAGGCCAUCUGAAAUCCUUCUCAUUUUAUAGAAGCUGUGGUUAAUUUUUAGGACAAGCUCCCACUUAAAAAGCAAGAGCUAUUCGUACCUAAGGAGUAACCAUACUCCCAUCCACACCGUGGAAAUCUGAUUUCUGUCAUAUUUUAAUUAUAAAACGGGCUCCAUUUGCAAUUUCAAUACUUGAAGCUUUAUAAAGUCUUAUGUGAAUUGUGAAGAAAUUUAUAUUUAAUGUUUAAUCAAAAAAGCAUGAUUCAGUUGGAUAGGUUAUAGACACAGGCACGUCUAGUCAUAGAAAAAAGACUAGAAGG